rnacentral:rRNA from 1 species
AACGAACGCUGGCGGCAGGCCUAACACAUGCAAGUCGAACGCGCGCAGCAAUACGCGAGUGGCGCACGGGUGAGUAACACGUGGGAACCAACCCAGAGGUUCGGAAUAACCGCGGGAAACUGCGGCUAAUACCGGAUAUCCCCCAAGGGGAAAGAUUUAUCGCCUCUGGACGGGCCCGCGUCCGAUUAGCUAGUUGGUGAGGUAAUGGCUCACCAAGGCGACGAUCGGUAGCUGGCUGAGAGGACGACCAGCCACACUGGAACUGAGACACGGUCCAGACUCCUACGGGAGGCAGCAGUGGGGAAUAUUGGGCAAUGGAGGCAACUCUGACCCAGCCAUGCCGCGUGGGUGACGAAGGUCUUCGGAUUGUAAAGCCCUUUCGGCGGGGACGAUGAUGACGGUACCGCAGAAGAAGCCCCGGCUAACUUCGUGCCAGCCGCCGCCGUAAC